CGGCUGUUGGGAGCCGAUCACGGCUUGGUGCUAGGGAUGAAUCCGGACGGAAAGACGUUGCAGGUGUUCGGGUGCUGGGCGAUUGCUGGAUCGGAGGCGUUACGAUCGGAAGAAGAGGCGGGGGAUCCGGUCGCUGGCUGCACCGCAUGGGACUCGUGGCCGGAACGGGCUGAUUGGAGGAAUUGAUUCUCGACGGUUGGACCGGCUCGUUGAUUGCAGCGGAGGAGUGGUCGCCGGCGGAGCAUCCGAGAAUGAAGACGAUGCCAUAGUUGGAUGCGGAAGACGCCCGGCUGAUUUCCCUCUUGGAUUUGGCACGCGGCUGAUGGAAGAUCGGGUUGUUUUGAUGGAAGGAAAUGAGUGAGGCGGGAUCACGGGAAGGAUUGGCAGCGGGAGGAAGAAGAUAAACAGUGGGAUUAUAAUAUAUAUAUUAUUAUUUAUUUAUUUAUUUAUUUAUUUAUUUAUUUUACACUGUUCAUAUGAACAGUGUUUUCACGGGACACUGUUCAUAUGAACAGUGAAUUCAGUAAUUCUUCCCGAAAUUAUUUUUAUUUAUUUUAUUAUUUUUGUUUUAAAAUUAUAAAUUUUAUAUGAAGGCACGCAAGGAAUUGGUUGGGAAUUGACUUUGGGUUUGAGGUGGGUCAUGAUCGUUGAUUUGCUUGAACUUACUCUCGAGCCCAAUGUCAUUUAAUUUUAAUUUUUGCUAAACUGCUUCAGACUGGACUCAACAGGGCUAAAAGCAGGAUCGUGACUUAAUAAGAGGGUUAAUCAAAUAUUUUCCUAUACAAUUAUAACUUUUAAUCUAAUCAAGACCAAAGCCCAUUUAAUUAUAACCUUAGCCAGGUCAACACAAUCUCCUUAUAUGUUUUUCUAUAGUUUUCAUUAAAGAUUGCAAUCAAGAGAGAGACAAGUUUAGAAUCUGGUUUAAGAAAAGAAUUAUUUACCUCUUACCAUAAUUUAAAUUUAAUUCAAUGUUUAUUCAAUUUCAUGGUAAAAUAUGUAUUUAUCAGUUUAAAAAUAUUGAUAAGUGCUAUAGAAAGAUAACUAAAUUAU
rnacentral:lncRNA from 1 species